AGCGAACGCUGGCGGCAGGCCUAAUACAUGCAAGUCGAACGGCUCUUCGGAGCAGUGGCGGACGGGUGAGUAACGCGUGGGAACGUGCCCUUUGGUUCGGAACAACACAGGGAAACUUGUGCUAAUACCGAAUGUGCCCUUCGGGGGAAAGAUUUAUCGCCAUUGGAGCGGCCCGCGUUGGAUUAGGUAGUUGGUGGGGUAAAGGCCUACCAAGCCUACGAUCCAUAGCUGGUCUGAGAGGAUGAUCAGCCACACUGGGACUGAGAUACGGCCCAGACUCCUACGGGAGGCAGCAGUAGGGAAUCUUGCGCAAUGGGCGAAAGCCUGACGCAGCCAUGCCGCGUGAAUGAUGAAGGUCUUAGGAUUGUAAAAUUCUUUCACCGGGGAAGAUAAUGACGGUACCCGGAGAAGAAGCCCCGGCUAACUUCGUGCCAGCAGCCGCCGUAACAC
rnacentral:rRNA from 1 species